CCAACCAACUCGCCGGAGUUCUCUUUCCGGUAUUAACCGCCAUAAGUUCCCCGUCCCUAAAAAAAUGACCUCCUCUAGUGACAGCUGUACUGCGGCAACAACCAAAGAGGAAUCGAGUUGUUCUCCACCGUCGGAUAUAGUAAUGCUCUCUCCAACAACCCCUCUGAUGCCGUCGAUUGAAGAAGUUCCAACUCUCCAGCAGUCAAUUAAAAAUGAAAAUAGCACAAUUGGUGAAGAGAUUAGUAAUGAUGUUGAAUUUGUCAUCCCGGAUAUUAUGAUUAACGACAAUUUCUUUGUGGGAUAUUAAGAUUAACGACAAUUAAUAGUAACAGAUGACGGGUGUCGUCUGCUAUUAAUAGUAACGGAUGACGUUGAAAAUAAUAAUGUCGCUACUAAAUUAGUAAUGGACGUAAUCCGUCAUCCGCUACUAAUUAAUAAUAGCGGACGUGAAUUAAUCUCAACAAUUGGUUUCUAUUUUUGAUUCAUAGUAAAUAUAUGGUAUUAAUUAUUAGUAUAUAUAGUGUAUGUCUAUUUUUGAUCCAUAAUAAAUACAUGAUAUUAAUCAUUACCCUAUAUAUAUUGUUUUUAUCUGAAAUAUUCUGAUACAACAAAAAUUAAUUAGAUACUGAGCUGAUCCAAUACCUAAGAAUCUACUUUUCUACCUUUCUUUUGUAUUAUCUUGAAGCAAAUAUUCCAGCAAGAAAUUGUAAAUUUAUGAAUCCUUGGGCAAAUUCAAGACAGUUAUACUAGUUAUACUUUUAAUAAACCAUGUUAGAAACUACAGACUUUUUAAAAUGAGCUUAAAAAAAUUUAAAUUCUUAAUUGACAUAGAUUGUUUUAAUUUUAAUCAAUACAAUGAUAAAUAUUGUAAAAUGUCUAAAAAAUAUUACUCAUCAUAAAUUUUAUUGUGUUAUAAUUUUUAAUAAAUCAUCUCAAUUUUAAAUUUAAAAAUAUUUAAAAUUAACUCCCAAAAGUCAAGAAUAAUUUUACAAUUUGAAACAUACAAAUAUACAUACCCAACAAAUGCCAUCCCCAACAAGCAAAUUUUGCCAUACCUAAUACUAUGAACAGGAUUUCAAGAAGUUGUCACAAUCUUGAUUAAUAUAUACUUUCAUAAUUUUUUGUAGCAGCUAUAGGCCUACAACAAAUAUUGUUUCCGUAAAAGACGUCAAAUGGCAG
rnacentral:lncRNA from 1 species